UGGGACACCAGCCCGGGUUCAGCCAAGCGCUCUCCUAUCGGGCAGCUUCUGCUGCAAGGGGUGAAUGGGGUUGCCAACUCCCUUCUCCCUCACAGGCCUUCGACACAGUGGCGGGCACCUAACCGAGGAGAGAGACGGGCACCCGGGUAAGGGCACAGCCCGCUGGCGCAGGCGGGCACCUAUCACCUCCUGCAGGCUGUGGCCAACUUCUGUAUCCGCGCCGGUGUCCCACGCUUCCCGGGAAACCCUGCCUGCAGGUCUCCUUGUGGGCAGUUGGUCAUAGAGAGGCUGCUGGGGCCGGCAUAGUGGCUUCCUGGGCACCAACUGUGAGGGCGCAGGUUGUCACGCUACAGUGGUGGGAUGAAGAGCGCCGGGGCUGGGUCCGGCGUGCAUGGGAGUGUGCGCGUUCCGGUCCCCACGGACACAUCUGGGCGUGGGCUUUGUUCAGAUGUGCUCACACCUGCUCGGAUCGUUGAGUUCAUGAGGUGAUGCGGGUUUCCCUCCACUAUCACUGCCCUGGAGAGGACUCAGGGAAUGGUUGGGUAGGGUGGGGACCGGGGAGACACUGAGCACAGCGGAUUGGGCGCACUUGCGGAGGGCUUUGUUAGCCUACAGGUGUGGGUCGGGGGAGUCCUAGCACCCCACCCAGCCUCUGAGGACUGGGACUUGUCCGGACUGACCCCCUGGCUUGGGACUGACUGAAAAGACCCUCUUCCCUACUCGGACUCCCAGAGGUGGGAAUCUGGCAACCGCUUCGUCCGGGGAUGCUGUGUUGAUGAACCAGGAGUGAUUAUCCGCGCUGGAGCAUCCAUCUAUCUAGCUGCGAGCGCCAUCUGUGCCGGGCGCCGCCCCGGAGCCCCUCCACGCCGUGCGGGUGGGCGCCGCAGCAUCCUCAGGCAGUUUGUCGGCUCAGCUACGCGAGGCCGGCAUCUACCGGAGCGCUGGGGAGGGAUCGAGAUGUCGCCAAAGGGUGAGCCAGGGAGCCGUCCUCUAAGAGAGGUGUUGGACCAGUAGCAAGCGCCGCUGGAGAGUUCCGGGGCCCAGUGGGCCCGCUAGCAGUCAAUUUCCCUUUGGUCGCCGGCUCUUGACGGCGGCUGCGUCUCCUACGCCCUCACGCUGACCGUCGCCCCCUGCACAGCGGCGGGCACCGAGUGAGGUCGCCAAGCGGUGGCGUCUCUUGCCUACCCUGUUUCUUUCCUGGCUUUUUGUGCCAGUAGCUCCAGCACUGAGCUGUAGCCAGGCACAGAGAUGUCCUGAGAGUGAAGCGUUCUUUUCAUUUCCCUGCCCCGUAAGUUUAAUGCUUAGAAGUGCGGAUCCAAGGGGCUGGGUCCUUCCUCAUGGAAGGCUCCUGCAGGACCUGAGCCAACCGAGAAUAAUGGGGCAAGAGGCAUUGAUUCCGCACUAGGAAUUACCCCCUGGGAUUGUCCUGAGAAGCAAC
rnacentral:lncRNA from 1 species